GCCAACAGUAUAGUGGUGUAGUGGCUUGAAUGUUGCUCAGGAGACCAGGGUUCGAUUCCCUGCUUGGGCA